rnacentral:lncRNA from 1 species
CCAUUAGCUGUGGGACCCUCCUUUCCAGAAUCAGAUCACUCUGGAAUUCUCCAGGUAUGGGGGUUUUGCACAUUCCAUAGAAGUGCUUUAGCCAGUAUUCUCACAGCAAUCUCACACCUUACAGCUCCAAUGCAUUUGUGCAGCUUUUCUAUCAUGUUUUUAUUAAAAGAUUCAUAAACAUUUCUACAGACUUUGCUGUUUUCAGGGCACUUAGAGUAAGGUUUUGCUGAAACCUCUUUAUUUUAUUUUUAAAUUCUCUCCCAAACACGAGGAGAAUCUUUUCAUCAUGAAGAUCCUUCAUUUUAUGUGUCAGAAGCAGCAGUAUUAUCCUGACUUAUUCAUAUAAUCAAGUGUACAUCAAUUCCUGAAUUGUUGUGCAAAAGUGAACUGUUUCCAUCACACUGGCUGUGGUGUGAGAAUCUUGUAAAAUAAUCUGAAACUAUAGACUGGAGUUUACAAACUAAUUAAACCAAGCAGAUUGAAGAGGGGAAAUAAGAUCCUGAGAGGUGUAUGACUUUCUAAAAGCUGCUCAGUGGGUUAAUGCAGAGCUUGGGCCACCCAAAUCUCCAUCAGUACCAGUGUCAUUCAUCCUCAUUCUCCCCAGGACCAGGUAUUUGCAAGCAGAUUUUUGGGAUAAUACAAGGAGAACUUUUGUACUUCAGCUACAUUGUCAACAGCAAACAAUUCUAAUGUUUCUCUGCAGUGAGAUAAAAUAGGUGGCACUGCUGGGCUCUGUGGUAUGAAGGGUGAUUCCAAACCAAGCAGAGAUGGAGGUGCCAAGCUGUGGCAGGAGGAAGGAGAAAUUGCUUUCCAGUUUCCCUCUGUGUGCUGGCAGAGCUCUGCCAGCUGGCCCAGGGCAGAAAGCAGAGAACCCAGCAGGCCUUCAAACCAAGAUGAUGGCUGCCCAGAGAAGCUGUGGAUGUCCCAGUCCUGGAAGUGUUCAAGGCUGGAUGGGGCUUGGAGCAACCUGGUCUAGUGGAAGAUGUCCCUGCCCAUGGCAGGGGGCUGGAAUGAGAUGAUCUUUAAUGUCUUUUCCAAUCCAAACUGUUCUGUGAUUCUGUGAUCAAAUCCACAGUGAUGAGAGAGGA